CAAUGAUAGCAAAAUUCAUAGCCAUGAUAAGAUCUACCUCACUUAGUGAUGUUGAGGCAUACAAUCCUUGUGCUUUUCCAACCAACUUGGAACUUAAUUGAGGUCCUAAGGUUAAAGGAUUCUCAAUCAUGUUAACUAAACCAAAGGCAGUGGUUGAGUUUAUCAAAGGUGGUGGAACAAUUACCAUUGAAGAAGGGUUGUUUCCACUAACUAUGUCAUGCCAAUAGAAUUUCAAAUGGCUUAGCUUCUCUUGUUUAUUAUCCAAGUUUAAUUCUUUGAGGUCUAAUGAACGCACAAAAUUGUUAGUAUCUUGUUUUGCUUUGAUUAAAGAUUUAGAGGGUGUAGUGAAGAGGAGGAAGAGGAUGGAGAAUUGGAUGAACAUG
rnacentral:lncRNA from 1 species